AAAUAAUAAACGGGGUGCUCGUAUACGGGCUGAGAGGAAGGUGUGACCCUCGACCCGAAUAACCUGAUUUGGAUAAUGCCAACGUAGGGAACGGAAAUAUCCGGGUAU
rnacentral:ncRNA from 1 species